rnacentral:rRNA from 1 species
UACGUAGGGGGCUAGCGUUGUCCGGAAUCAUUGGGCGUAAAGAGCGUGUAGGCGGCCCGGUAAGUCCGCUGUGAAAGUCGGGGGCUCAACCCUCGAAUGCCGGUGGAUACUGUCGGGCUAGAGUGCGGAAGAGGCGAGUGGAAUUCCUGGUGUAGCGGUGAAAUGCGCAGAUAUCAGGAGGAACACCAAUUGCGAAGGCAGCCCGCUGGGACGUAACUGACGCUGGAGACGCGAAAGCGUGGGGAGCAAA